rnacentral:rRNA from 1 species
CCAAUAGCGUAUAUUAAAGUUGUUGCAGUUAAGAAGCUCGUAGUUGAAUUUCGGGAUCAAUUAAUUGGUCGUGCCUCUGGUACGUACUGAUUUUAUUGGUUUCUCCCUUCUGACGAACCAUGAUGUCAUUAAUUUGGUGUCGUGGAGAAUCAGGACUGUUACUUUGAAAAAAUUAGAGUGUUUAAAGCAAGCUAACGCUUGAAUACAUUAGCAUGGAAUAAUGAAAUAGGACGUUUGAUCCUAUUUUGUUGGUUUCUAGGAUCGACGUAAUGAUUAAUAGGGAUAGUUGGGGGCAUUAGUAUUCAAUUGUCAGAGGUGAAAUUCUUGGAUUUAUUGAAGACUAACUACUGCGAAAGCAUUUGCCAAGGAUGUUUCCAUUAAUCAAGAACGAAAGUUAGGGGAUCGAAGACGAUCAGAUACCGUCGUAGUCUUAACCAUAAACUAUGCCGACUAGGGAUCGGAUGAUGUUAAUUUUUUAAUGACUCAUUCGGCGCCUUAC